GAUGAACGCUGGCGGCGUGCCUAAUACAUGCAAGUCGAGCGAACGGACGAGAAGCUUGCUUCUCUGAUGUUAGCGGCGGACGGGUGAGUAACACGUGGAUAACCUACCUAUAAGACUGGGAUAACUUCGGGAAACCGGAGCUAAUACCGGAUAAUAUUUUGAACCGCAUGGUUCAAAAGUGAAAGACGGUCUUGCUGUCACUUAUAGAUGGAUCCGCGCUGCAUUAGCUAGUUGGUAAGGUAACGGCUUACCAAGGCAACGAUGCAUAGCCGACCUGAGAGGGUGAGCGGCCACACUGGAACUGAGACACGGUCCAGACUCCUACGGGAGGCAGCAGUAGGGAAUCUUCCGCAAUGGGCGAAAGCCUGACGGAGCAACGCCGCGUGAGUGAUGAAGGUCUUCGGAUCGUAAAACUCUGUUAUUAGGGAAGAACAUAUGUGUAUGUAACUGUGCACAUCUUGACGGUACCUAAUCAGAAAGCCACGGCUAACUACGUG
rnacentral:rRNA from 1 species